GCAUGCUUUAAUCAGGAUGCCUACAGAAGCCCAUGGAGCUGCUCCUCAGCAUGAUGGAGGAGCUCUGGUCUGGGAAGAAGGAGAAUCAACAAAACAACAAACAGUUCCUCAUGAAGAUGGUCCAGAUCCUCAGCUUGAUUGGGAGGAGCACAGGAGAUACACACUCUGAAAGAGACGCUCAAAGCCAUGAAAACACGGACUGAAUUACAGGAAAAACAGCAUCAGUCUGAGAUUGAAGAUCUGAAACUCCAGGUUCAGCAGACGCAAGAGUCCAUCGAAGCCCUUAAUGAGCAGCUGAAGAGCGUUCUGGAGGAGAACGUGUCUUUACAGAAACAGCUGAUCAAAGCAGAA